rnacentral:lncRNA from 1 species
ACACAAUAAUGAAUUAAUAGAACAUGACUACUACAACAUCAAAUCCUUUCAAUUAUAAGCAACACAUAUAGUUUUCCAACUGAAUGAUAGGUAUAAAGGUUCAACUACAUCACAGUUAACCACAUAGUUCUAUUAGGGAAAGUAAACUAUCAUGUAGGAAACCUAUUGUUUCAAUACAUUUUCUAAAGCUAAUUCGAAAUAACUUCAACUCUUCCAACUUUCUUUAUAUUCAUGCCUCAAAUUUCAGCUUACAUUGACAGUGUAUCAGUCGUGUACCUGGUAUAGGAAAGCAAAAGAAGAAGGAGAAUGAUCAGCAGAACAGUAAACAACAACACAGCAAUAGCAACAACAGGGACAGCCCAAUAAUAGACCAAAACUCAGCAGCAAACUUAGAAGAAAAUCCAGCAACAAUUUUAGACCAACCCAAACAGCAACAAUCCAAAGAAACCAAUAGGAAUAACCAGUAGCGACAGAUUCUUAAAACCAAAGCAGAAUCCCAGGAGUAGCCUAAUGGAACAGUAUUCAGCAAAUAGAAAACUGGAUACUGCCAAGCUGGAAAUCCAGUAGUACCAAACAGCACACAGACAGGUGCAAGAAGCAGUGAUUUCUGAUUUUUCGUUACACACUCAAAGGCAAAGACAAGUUGAAGCUCUUUGAUGUAAAGCCUAACCUAGAAUGAGGAUCAAAAACCUUAACACUUUUGUUCCUUUUUUUCUUUUCUGAAGUCUUAGUUUUCAACCUUAAUUUCUGAUUUUUUUUCUAACCUCUCACCCUCUUAUGCCUAACUCUUGAAACCUGAUCUCUAACCCCCUUUCUUCUCCUCAAAUGAGCCUAUUUAUAGGCUAAAUACAAGCCAGCCCCAGGCUGCCUCGUUUCCCCCCAGCCCUCAACUCUACUCAUACCCCUUUAUUCCCCAUUAACAUGUGUUUUGUGCCCCAAUGGUAUGGGCAGCUGACAGUCUUUUAAUUAACCCCAUGCUAUCAAGUUUGGUUCCCCACUAUUGUAUUAGUUUAAUCCUAUUCCAGUACCCUAUUGUCAGCUCACUUAAACUAAUAAUUUCUGCUCUUUUUACACCCCCAAACUACCCCUGUUAGCCCCCAGUUAUUACUAUUUUACCCUGAGCUUCAGCAGUCUGAAAUUUAAACUUCUGAAAGUUCAAACUUAAGCUAUCCUAAACUGAGUUCCAGCUAUUGUACUGCAGCUACAAAUCAUUCACAGAUAGAUUAAAACAAACAGCUAAACGACAAUGGUUCGAUCAGUCAUAUGAAGCUUAUACGAAUCAGAAUAUUUGAUCAUUCAAUCCUAUAAAACUAAUCGACGACGUUUAUCUAAUCGACUAUACUAAUUAUGACAUAGAAUAAUCAGUCGAUCAAACAAACAACACGAGCGGGGCAUCAACUGCCUUCAACAACUUUGCCCGACACAGGGAAUCUAUAUGAAUUAUCUAUUCGACGACAUUAAUCAACUCGAACAUGUAUAUCACCAUACGUAUUCAAACAUAAACAGAAACAAUCGACCAAAUAAAAGGUCUUACGAAGAUGGAGAAUAAAUGGAAAGAAAAUAUUAGAAAUAACAAACAAAUUGACUAAACAUGCUGACAAACUAAAACAACAUUUAAACAAAAAGAGAAAAGAAAAAGGAAAACUCACUGUGGAAACUCAAACAUGAACGAACCAGGCCUGAGCUGGAUUUGAACAUUUGAGGUCGAACAGACUUUAAUCGAGGUGUUCUCAACCGAGAACACUUCGAUUAAGGUCUAUUAGACCCCAACCUUAUGUUAAAACUGGUCAGAUUCCCAAAAUUCUUGUGUUCUAGGGUUCGAAUAGUCCGAUUUAGGGUUUGAGUAUUUGUGGGUAGAUUCGGACCAAACCAAGCUUGGUUUGGUCACGAGUGAGGCCAGAGUAGUGACUGGUGUGAAACUGGGGUGGGUUGGUGUAGAUCAGGGUUGGGCUCGAAUCUUAAAACUAAGAUUCGAGACGAUGGGGGAUGAUUCGAAGCAAGGGGGUAACAGAUCCGUGUUCAGGGUGGUUGGGUGCAUUAGGGGUGUUACUUUGGUGGUCAUCGGCAUCGUUGCCGCCGGGUUUAUGGUGAGAGCGUAUGGGGGAGGCUAGGGUUUGGAAGGGGUUCGUCUCUUGAGAGACGACGAUGAACAGGAGGUGAGGGGGUGUGGUUUGGAUAGGGGGUGUGGGGUGUGAUGGAGGGCUUAUAUACGGAGGGGGAAAAUGGAUCCUGGCCGUUGGAUGAAGUGAGAUCGAUGGCUAGGAUCUUUCACUUAAUGGGGAAUGGCACCGUUUGGCAUUGGUUGGGGGUCGGUUAGAAUCGGUUACUGGGUCGGGUUUGGAAACGGGUUGCUGAAAGGGGUCUUGGACCGCUGGAUUAGAUUGGGCUAACGGUUGAGAUUAGACGGCCCUAUACGGCGUCGUUUGGGUAAGUGAAUGGCCUGAUCUGGGUUGUUCCUUUAAAUCAAUCAAUGGCUCAAAAUGGGCAUGCCAAUAUGGCGUCGUUGGGGGCGUCUCUUAGAAGACCUGGUUUGGACUGGGUCGUUACAAAUUGGUUUGGGCCUGAUUUUUAAUUAAAUUUUGGCCCAAAUCCGGUCUUUCCUUCUUAUAAUUAAACUAAAAAUUCCCAAAACCCAAAAAUUAAACUAGACAAAUAUUAAUUGAUACCUAACAAUAGUUAUCACAUGAAUUAAAGCAUUUAAUAAAAUUAACAUGACAACAAAAAUAAAAUAAAAUGCCUAUUUUUGUGAUUUUCGCUUUUAAAAACCAAAUAAUGGUUAAUUAAUUCCCAAAUGUAUCAUUUUCCUUAAAUGCAUGCAACAUGAUCAAUUAUCAAAAUGUCAUGCAAAUUCUCAAAAUUGUACCCGAAGGUAGCUCUUUUACUUUUGAAUUUCCUUUUGGAGUAGUUUCUGUAAAGCAAAAAUCACGUGCUCACACAAACUAUGUGAAAUCCUCUAUGUAUAAAGGUGAUUAAAAUAAAUCAAAUGACAUUGGGAAAUAGAGAUUGGCCAAUGUGCUGGGAAUGUGAAUUAUAAUUGUACCUGGGAUGCCUAUGACAUGAAAAAUUAUGAAACAGAUUAUGAAAUGAGUCUCGACUCUGCUUUCCAUAAAUGACUUCAAUAAUAAAGUGUCGUGAAGGCUUUGUACACAAUUUAUGCCAUAAGUUGUUGUUCGAGAUAAUGUUUUGCUUUAUAAGUACAUCCAAUGUGAUCCGAGUUGUUACAUACUCCAAUGUUGAAAUUGUAUAUUGUCAUGAUUGGAAAAGAAUAAUUCAAGAACAAUUGGUGUAGUGCCUCUUUAUGCCUUUGAUGUGUGUUUCAUUGUGGUUUGGUGUGUCCCCUCCUUUUUGGAAGAAUCCGUUGGGUUUAAAGUUCCAUUGUUAAUAAACCUGAGGUGUAUGAUUUUUGAAAUAUUGUAUAUGCCCAUGAUUCAUGAUUCCUCUCAUGUGUACUUACAUCUUGGAUUGAAUGGCUUGUUGUUGAAAUUGAUAUCGAUGUGAAACAAGUGAAAUAUGAAAUACGGCCACCGUGCCAGGAACAAAGAAUCUUGUGAAUGGCCAAAUGAGCCAAGGAAAUACUGUUGUUGUUGGUGACUGGAAAUACUAAUUGGAAUCUAUAAAAUAUGAAANNNNNNNNNNNNNNNNNNNNNNNNNNNNNNNNNNNNNNNNNNNNNNNNNNNNNNNNNNNNNNNNNNNNNNNNNNNNNNNNNNNNNNNNNNNNNNNNNNNNNNNNNNNNNNNNNNNNNNNNNNNNNNNNNNNNNNNNNNNNNNNNNNNNNNNNNNNNNNNNNNNNNNNNNNNNNNNNNNNNNNNNUAUGGACGGGCUAUGAAACGCAUAGGGGUAUAAUAUAAUAUGUGGACCCUAUGGACGGGCUAUGAAAUGCAUAGGGGUAUAGUAUAAUAUGUGGACCCUAUGGACGGGCUAUGAAACGCAUAGGGGUAUAAUAUAAUAUGUGGACCCUAUAGACGGGCUAUGAAACGCAUAUGGGUAUAGUAUAAUAUGUGGACCCUAUGGACGAGCUAUGAAAUGCAUAUGAGUAUAAUAUGAUAUGUGAACCCUAUGGACGGGCUAUGAAAUCCAACCUAGAGGUAUGGAAAUUAUGUGAAAGUUAUGUGAUCCCUUUUAUUUGAUUGUGUGGUGAUUGUUUAAAACUUUUGUUAAAUCCUUAUGAUUUCCUUGUCCUUGUAUGAUAGUUCUUUCUAAUAAGAUGGUAUUUAGUUAUACAUACUAGUGUUAUUCGAUGGCACUAACGUCCCUUUUGCUGGGGGUGUUAUGUCUUUAAAUGGAUGUAGGUGUUUCUAUGGUAGGUCGUGUUGGUCGCAGCUAGUGCCGCAUCAUCCUUUCAGCUGACUUGGUGAGCCCCACUUCAUUUCGGGGUCCUGUACCGUUGUUUAUCAUGUACUUUAUAUUUUGAGUUAUAGCCGGAGCCUUGUUGCCGACAUUUCCAUAUUACUCAUCGGUUGUAUUUAGAGGCUCCGUAGAUAGGUUAUGGGUGUUGUUUAGUAUCUGGAAUUAAAUUGGAAAUAUUGGUAUUUGGCAAAUAUGUCUUCCUUCAUAUCUAUGAAAAUUGUCAUAUUUUGGAUACUAUGAUUUAAGUUGCUAAUGGAAAUGAAAUGGAAGUUGUUAAUGAAAUACUUAUUAAGUAUGAUUAAUGGAGUCCAUCUCCUAUUUAUUCAUGAAUCAGUUUGGGUAGAAUGAAACCUAACAGUCUUGCUCAGUCGGGUUUACUCGGUUGAGCGCCGGUCGUGUUCCAAGGUUUUUGGGGCGUGACAAAAUGAUGAAGAACAAGCAAAGAACAAUAAAAUGCUAGGGAGACCUCGGGGUCGAAGAACACUGAUAACUUGGAAGAAAAAGGAGAGAGAGAGAGAGAGAGAUAUAUAUUAUUGCUUAUUGGAGGAGUGGAGCAACAUCAUUCCUUUACAAAGUGGGAUGGGUCCCCCUUAUAUAGGCGAGUGAACUCGAUAUAGUACAUGUAUAUUAAUUGUAAAAGUACAAAGAUGGGACGUCUUGACGCAUGACCUCACAGUAGGCUCCAGAUAGGCCGGAUCUGUCAGGUGUAGCCAUGUGCCCAGGGGACUUCCUCUUUUAUCCCGGCCUGGGGCCUUGCAUCCAUCGAGCUAGACCUCGAUGAGCCCUGAGACCGAGAAAUUGAUCGUGGCUUUCCACCCUCGAGGUCUCGGGGAAGGCUCCCAAAAUCUCUUGAAUAGCAAAAAAUCAAGUUUUCUGAGUUUGCCGCGUAUAAGAAGAUUUUUGAAUGUUUGGCUUGAAUCCAAUGUUUUUUGGGUGAUUUGAUUUUGUUUGAGGUAUUUUGAUGAUUUGAAAAAGUUUAAAUAAGGUAGUAGGAUAUGUUUGUGCUUUUGGUUGAGGUCCCGGGGGCCUCGAGGUGAUUUCAGAUGGUUGACGGAGAAGUUGGAUUUUUGUUGCAGCUGCUGAAUUUGUUGCUUCUGGUAUUUUCGCACCUGCGAAUUGGGGACCGCAGGUGCAACGCCGCACGUGCGGUAGAGGAGCUGCAAAAGAGGAUUUUUUGGGAAAUUUCCAGAAACCGCAGAUGCGGUGUGGUACUGCACCUGUGAAGUCGCAGGUUGGAAGGCUGAGCGUAGAAGCGGCUUGGGCUUUUAAGUGAAGAAUCGUAGAAGCGGUGAUUUGGCUGCAUAUGUGGUACCACAGAAGCGGUUAUGGAUUAGAGCUAGAAAUUUAGGAAAUUAAGAGUGAAAUUUUGGGAUACCUAGGGUUGGUAUUGGAGACCUAUGAUUGGGGAUUUGAUGGACCAUUUGAGGUCGGAUUUCUGAAAUUUUUGAUAUGUAUGAACUCGUGGGGAGAUAAGGAAUCAAUUAAUGUGAAAAUUAUUAAAUUCCGAGAUGUGGGGCCGGGGAUCUGUUUUUGGUAAUUUCGGGAUUUGUGUCAAUUAUUGAUUGUUUUUGCUUGGGCUUCGUUCCCUUAGCAUAUUUUGACAUCCUAGUUCUAAUUUUGGAUAUAUUCAACGUGAGUGGAGGCCGAUUCGAGGGGCAAAGGCAUCGCGAGCUAGAGAUUUGACUAGUUCGAGGUGAGUAAUGAUUGUAAAUGAUGGUCUGAGGGUUUGAAACCCCGGAUUGCAUAUCGUAGUGCAAUAUUGAGGUGAGGCACACACUUGAUGACGAGCGUGGGCCCGUCCACUAUUGGGGAUUGUGACUUGGUCCGUCCCGAUUGAUGAUUUUACCGCGUAUUUGACUGAAAUCUAUUUGUUAUCAUCAUUAUUUUGGUUGAAUGCCAUAUUUGGGCUUCGUGCCAACUAUUUGAACCCCUCGGGGAUUUUUAAUAAUAUUUCCUCACUGUUUUGACUUUAUGCUUGAACUCAGUCAUGCUAUUUUCCACUAUUUUCAUACUCAGCAAUGUUUGCUUGGUUUUUAAUACUUAAAUGAUGUUUUGUGCUAAGAAACACGGUUUUACUUUUGCCUGAGUGGCUUGUCAGGAUUUUUAACUGAGUAAGGACGAGAGGGCCUAUAUUGUGAGGAAACAAUGAUAUUGAUUUGAGGCCGAGGGCUUGAGAUAUGUACGCCAUGAGGCGGCUUGAUUGAUAUGAGGUCGAGCGCCUAGUGAUGAUGCCACGAGAUGGCUUGAUAUUGCGCUUGGACCGUAAGGGGCCCCUCUACAAGUCUGCACACCCACAGUGUAACGACCCGACCAGUCAUUUUGAGAUCUAGCGCACCGUUCAGUAGUCUAAGGCCAUGAGUAGCUUCAUUUCAGGAAUUAUGACCUGCACGCGUGGUUAGAAUUGAACUUCGGGGAGUUUGGAGUUGAUUUGGAAAGAGAAUUCUCGUUUCGGAAGCUUAAAGAUGAAAGAAGUAGCUAAGAUCAGAUUUCUGAGUAAACAACCUCAGAAUUAGGAUUCGAAGGUUCCAUCAGGUUCGUAUGAUGAUUUCAUACUUGGGUGUAUGUCCGGGUUGGAUUUUAGAUGACCCGGGAGAGUUUUGGCGCAUAUUGUGGAAGUUAGCAUUUUGGAAGAAAUUUUAUAAGUUUGGGUUGAAGAGCAUUUCAGUGUUAUGGAUGUCUGUUUGGGAUUCCAAGUUUGGGAGUAGCUCUGUAUGGUGAUUCCAGAGUUGGGAGUGCGAUCGGAAGUGAAUUCGGAGGUCUGUGGGUCAUUUUGGAGUCAUUUGGCUAAAGAUAGAAAUUUGAAGGUUUUUGAAAAGUUUGACCGGAAGUGGACUUUUUGAUAUCGGGGUCGUAAUCCAAUUCCAAAAGUUGGAGUAGGUCUGUAAUGUCGAAUAUGACUUGUGAGCAAAAUUUGAAGUCAAUCGGACGUGAUUUGAUAGGUUUAAGCAUGGAAAGUAGAAGUUUGAAACCUUGAAGUUCAUAAAGCUUGGAUUGGAGGCCGAUUCAUGAUUUUACUAUUAUUUGAUGCGAUUUGAGGCCUCGAGCAAGUCCGUCAUGUAUUUUGGGACCGGUUGGUAUGAUUGGUUGGGGUCCCGGGGGCCUUGGGUGGAUUCCGGGUGGUUAAUGAAUUGAAUUUGGAAAUUUUGGGGAGGCUGAAGUUGUUGGUUGCUGUCAUAACCGCACCUUCGGUUCCUAAACCGCAGAAGCGAUCCAUCUAUCGCAGAAUUCGCCCAAGGCCAGGCAGCCUAAGACCGCAGAUGCGGCCAUAAAUCCGCAUAAACGAAAUCGCAGAAGCGGUGGGCCUGUCCGUAGAAGUGGCCCAGACCGCAGAAGCAGUGGUCACAGGUGCGGCCCAGGACCGCACAGGCAGAAAUCGCAAAAGGCAGUGACCUUCAUUUCUUCCUAGCAUUAUGAGUUAAGUUAUUUCCAAUUAAUAUGAGUUUAAUACUUGAGUUUUGGGUAGAUUAACACAUAAAAAAAUUGUGAAAAUCAUGAGAAUAGGGUAAAACCUAGGGUUUUGCUAAAAACGAGAUUCAACCACGAAAUUUGCUAUGGAAUGAAGUAAAAAUCAUAUAUUUGUGAUCCUUAGGUUAUAUAGAAAAACUUUCUUUGAAGAAUUUCGGAAUCAGGACACGUGGGCCCGGGGUCAAGUUUUAGGAAACUUGUGUUUAAGGUUGGAAAAUUGCUUAAAUAGUUAGAAUGCGAUCUUGUGAGCUUGUAUUGACUAGUUAUUACCUAGUUUAUCUAGUUUUGGAUUGUUCGGCUCCAAAUUGAGAGUUUGGUCUCGUUCUUGGUAUUGGAAGUAUGCUUUGGAGCGAGGUGAGUCUCCUUUCUAACCUUGUAAGAGGUAAUUAUUCACAUGGGUGAUAUAAUUUAUUAUGUGCUUCUAUUUGUGGGAGCUACGUACGCAUGAGGUGACGAGAGUUCGUGCGUAGCUACUAAUAUAUGUAAGUCUGGAUAGUCUAGGACCCAAAAGCAUACUAUACUUGGAAUAUCUGUGAUCAUAUUGAUAGUUGAAUUUCUUAAAUUCUAUCGAAUUGGUAAAUAAAUUUCUAAGAGGGUUAACUUUCUUAGAUUUUUCAAUGAUACACUUCUUUCGAUUUGGUACAUGCAAGCGAGGAGUUCUUCCAACAAGGUGAGUUAUGGCGUAUGCAACCAGGCAUGAGUUUGAUGCCUUUCAAGUAACAUAUCAUGUGCUUGAACGUGUCCAUGUAUAAUACAGAUAAUAGAAAUAAUCUUGGAUAGAGAAACACACUCCACACUAUUUGUAGAGACUGUAUUUUCCAACUACCCCUUCUAGGAAUGGCAGGCGGCGCGGGUGCGGGUGCGGGGCAGCACAAUUUCAACCUGCCCGCCCCACAUAUGAUUUAAACUCGCGUACACCCGCCCGCCCCGCCCCGCAAAAUGUUUUUUUAAAAAAAAUCUCUUUUUUUUGGUUUUUUUUUUGCAGUAGUUGUAUUAUAUAAAGACGCCACAAACAUCUACACAACAUCUGAAAUUUGCCACUUAAAUUUUGCAUUAAGAUACACUCAGUAUAAUUUGGUACUGUUUAUUAGUUCAAUAGUAGCCUAUAAAAUAAAACCGCUUACAACUUGAUUUCAAGAAUAUAUUACAGCUUCAAUACAAAUAGGAUAAAUAAUUAUUGGGAUUGGAAUUGAGAAUUUUACCAUAUAGCUCCAAGAAUUUCUCAGACUUGCGUGCCAUUGCAGAGAGAAACUGAACAACUACACUUGUGAUUGUGUUUGUAUUUUUAUCGGUCCAAAAAGUAAAAUCCCCAACCCGCGACCCGCCCCGCAUAAUUUUUUUAUUUAAAAACUGAACCAGCCCCGCCCCGCCCCGCAACCGCAAACACCCAAACCCGCACCGCCCCGCUAACACUCAAACCCGCACCGACCCAUUGUCAUCCCUAACCCCUUCCAAUAUCCAGUACA